GUGGUUGUGAAAUUAAUAGGUUCAUGAUACCCUGAAUAUAUGAAAGUAAAACAAACCUCAGAGACCUAAUAGCAGGGAUGAUUCUUAACAAUAUAUAUAAUAUUCUUCUUCUUUACUAUACUUUUAUAUUAGUUCCUUCUUUGAAGGAGUAAAAUUACUAAAUUUCUACCAGUUAAGCACAUUAUAUCAACAGUUUCUCAAAUAGAAGCCUUUCUCCAAAAUUGGGAUGAUUGAGUCAACCCCAGUUUCUGAAACCAGAACAGAUAAUGGGACUUUUUAUGAAUUGAGCUGCAGAAGAAAUUCUGAAAGUACAUUAAGUAUCUCAGUCAGCAAGAAUGUUUUUCCUUUAUGGAGCACUUUGGAAGUGUUAUGAAAGAUAGAUGUCUUUUUUCUUUUUCUUUCCCCUGCUAUCUGUCUCUGUCAAUUCAACUGAGAUUUCACAUACCUAUUAAGACUUUCUCAACAAUGAGCCGAGUCUUCCAAGUUAUUAGACUAUCAUCCAAACAGCCAGUCCUCAAAUUACUGACAGACCACGAUGAUUGCUUUAAGGUCCAAUCUGAAUACAAAUUAUGCUUUAAUAGCCGUAUGAUUGUGCUAAAGUAAUUGAAUUUUCCUGGCAUCUUUUCAAUUUAUUGGCUGAUUAAUCAUGAAGCAGAGGAAGAUGUUUCUUUAAAAUGAGAAUUCUUGGGAUACAACAGUGAACAAACUUGGAAAUACCUGUGGUCAUAACACUGGAGUCAUUACCACAACUGUUGUUCCCACUCCUGAAAUUAAAAUAUUAAUUCUUCUGUCACAACAAUAUUUAAGAUUUUGUUUACUGCCUACUCCACCUACCAUGCAUAACUGGUUUUGUAAUAAAUAAUCGCAACUUUGCCUGGUUUUAUUGCUACAAAACAGAAGAAUGAGUUUCUCAGACAUCUUUUUCUUAUAAUGCAUAACUUUACAUCUUGUAAGAAGCUCCAUGCCAAGCUGAAGUUAUGUCAUAUAGCAGCUAUUUUUUUUACAUCAGUGUAUUUGCAGAAAGUCUUCCGUGGAGUUCUCUUUUAUUCAAGCCUGGGCUAAACUACCUUGGGAAUGCAUUCUCAGGGCUGUAUGAGCAGCAGUGCACUGUGGAGACACUGUGGGAAAACAGAGGGAGAAAACUAAUCAAAUUGUACAAACACAGGAGCCUAGAGGUAAUGUGAAAAGCAAGAAGAUGAUUAUAUUCAGAUUUCCUUCAGAUGUGGUUGACUUGAUUUGUGCAAAUAUAAUUCAUGUUAAUAAUCUGCUGGACAAAACUCAGCCAAAAGGUUGUCCUAACGAAAUCAUACUAUGUAUGCUUCAGUGUCUGGUUUGAGAUGUGUUUAAACAAGUUAUAGAUGCCUUCACUGAGGUACGUGAAUCCUUUAGGUUGAGCUGAAUGAGAAUUUUCCUUCCAGUCCAUCUUAGUUGCAGGCAAGAGGUAUUUUUUUUUUUUUUCAGCUUUUCUUUAUUUAAUAACAUGGAGGAGCUUCAUUUUAAUCUUUAUUCUUUAUUCACAGAUGUAUAUCUCUGGAAAUUUAUUCUGAUGAUGUUGUUCCAUUGAAGAGCAUUUGCCAUAGUUGGCACAGGUGCCUUCUUCCUACUAUUUAAAAUUCUUAUCUCCCACAUUGGCAGAGUAUAUAACUUGAUUCUGAAGCUUUGAUGUAGUUACACAAAUAAGCUGUCUGGUUUCAUGAAUUCUGAAGUUCAGUUUGCAUAAUCAAAAUGGGAGACAAUGGAAUGUGUUUGAAGAAGGUGCUUGUGCAAGCAGACAUGGAAAUGAAACAUUACUGCAAGCAAGCUCUGCCCAUCAGCAGUCAUGUUCUACCCUGGAACAAGAAUAGUAGAAAAGAAAACAUCAAAAAGCACUUCCUGACUCUGCAGAGAUCACUGAACUGCAGCGGUGAAAGCAAGUGCAUUGUUCUGACUCGCCGCUGCUCCCCCUUGUGAGCCGUGCUGGUGACUACUUGCAAGGAGUGCCACGCAAGCUGUGAUACACCCCUGCUGAUGUCAGUAGGAAUUCAGCUGUUUCUGCUGGUGUAAUUAUGACCUAAUAUUUCACUGAUAGCUCUGCAUUUUUGGUGAGUAUGUAGUGAGAUCAUGUUUGACUCAAAAAUUUCCUGUGGAGUACAAACCUGAGAAUCCUGGUACUUUGGUGCUACCAUCAAAAAUGUGGUGUUUUACAGAUCUUGUUGCAUUUUCUUCCAUGCAAUGAACCUGCAACGCUUUUGGAAUAUAAAAGGAAGUAGAAAUCCUCUGUGAAUUAAAUUUUCAGCUUCUAGCUCUACCCUCAUUGCUAUCAGUAGGACUUUUAUUAUCUAAAUAUUUUUUACUUGUAAAUUAUCUAUCUUUAACUGCUCUUAGAGUUAUAGUAAUGAGAAUUAUAGAAAUAUGCAUUAAUAUUUUAUAUAAAGUUUCCAAUAUUGGGAUCUCUUUGAAUACAAAACAUUUAAAGAUCUUUGCUAUUAUUUUUGAGUGACACACUGUAUACCCCCCCAGUUCUAUGAUCUGAUGGCUAAUUUAAGCUUGAUCUCUGGAUCCAUCUUACACAAAGGAGGUGUGUACCUUGAAGGCAGUUCUUCUGAAGAAAGUAGAGUAAUAUGUACACAUGCUGUAAACUGAAACAUAUUGCCUUCAUAGCAACAAUUUUUUCUUGUGAACUAUGUCCUUCAGAAAUGAUCCAAAUCUUCUCCUAUAAAACAGGAUGUGUAGGCCAUAUAGUAAGCAAAUUUUCCUGUGAACUUUUGAUUUUCACAACUAAGACUUCCCUAACUACAGCUAUCUUAAACAGACUCCUUGGAAUAGUGGCUCAGUGCUAGCAGAGAUGAUAGAACACGGGGAAAUGCUGUCAAACUUAAAGAGGGUAUAUUUAUGUUAGAUAUAAGGAAAAAGUCUUUUACAGUGAGGAUGGUGAAGCACUGAACAUGUUGCCCAGAGAUGUUGUGGAUGCCCUAUUCCUGGCAUUAUUAUUUCAAGGUAAGGCUGGAUCAGGCCCUGGGCAAUCUGACCUAGCUGUGGACAUCCCUGUUCAUUGCAGGAGAGUUGGACUAGAUAGCCUGUAAUGGUCACUUCCAAUUCUAAGGAUUCUAUGAUUCAGUUACUACUAUAUUCUGUAAUUUAGAUUCACACAGAAUCACUCAGAAAUCAAAGUACUACUCAAAGUUAUUAGUGCUGCCUCCUGCCCCUGACUCUAUCUUCUUAGCUAGUUAAAUAGGAAGCAGGGGCAGUCAGUAUUCCUUCCUCUGUCCUGAUGCUCUCUGCCAUAAGCAGAUGAAUUCAGUCACCUGUUAGAUGAACAAAGAAUGAGAAUGCAGCUAUUACCUUGCAUGCUUACAGACAGUGCUGAGGGUGAUGAAGCAUACUUCCAGAGUGCUUCUACCCACCAAUAUUUGUUCUUGCAGCCCUGUUUACAUGGCUUUGUGACCCUACUGGAUUUCUCCAGCUCUGUAGGGUGAAAGCCAGGUGAUCGCUCUGACACCUUCCUGGUCUUGGCAGCAAGAGCAGCUACUGACUGACAGCCCACCAUGGAAUCAGUGUACAGUGUACAAGAAGUAUAUUUAGUCUUAUACUCAGCAUUUACAAGUAACAGAACCAAAUUUUUGUGCAUUGCUUGUGUUUUCUAAUACUAGCUGUACUAUUUAAUGCCACUGCCUGAAGUACAGGAUUCCCCAGGUGAGCCCUCCAUAUACCAGCUGCAUAAGGAUUGUCAGGCCUCCAAACUGUGGCAAAAAGGGCUGUGGAUCAGUCAUUGUCCCUGGUUUUCUGUAUGAUUUGUAAUUGUAAAAGACAUUUCAGACAGUCCUAUUUGUAGGAAAAAAAGUCCCAUCACACUUUUGGAAUGAGAUUGCAGUCCUAAUAUCUGAUUCACAGUUCAGUCCAAAAGUUGACAUCCUGCAGCUCCAGCUGGGUAGGGUAUUUGUUAACGUUGCCUUGUUCUUCUACAUGGGCUGGAGAGUUUUUUUUUGUUGCUGUUCAUUUACUUGCUGACAUGCUGGCACUAUGUUAUUCUGUGGCAGUAGUAUGUCUGACAGUAUUAUGACAGCAUUCUGUGGCUGUAUGUCUGUGAUAACUGUCAUAGAAAGGGGAAAAUAUGUGGCACUGGCAGAGAAGAUGCCUUCUCUGUUGUAGGGAAGAAGAUCUGUUGCCUCAGAGUAAAUCCACAUGUGAGCUAUAAUUCUGCAUCUGCUGAGCUCCUAUGCUGCAAGGCUAAAGAGUAAAAAAGCACUUUAUUAUUAACAAGUGGGGUGUCCACAACUGGUGUCUCAGCUGGUAAUGACCAUCUUCCUUAAUUUGUGGCUGUUGAAGUGAAUAACCUUUUUCAAGCACUUACUGGUUUUCUUCACCACUCACUACACAAUUGGAA